rnacentral:rRNA from 1 species
CCCUUAGAUGUUCUGGGCCGCACGCGCGCUACACUGAUGCAUUCAACGAGCCUAACCUUGACCGAGAGGUCCGGGUAAUCUUUGAAACUGCAUCGUGAUGGGGCUAGAUUAUUGCAAUUAUUAAUCUUCAACGAGGAAUGCCUAGUAAGCGUGAUUCAUCAAAUCGCGUUGAUUACGUCCCUGCCCUUUGUACACACCGCCCGUCGCUCCUACCGAUUGAGUGUGUUGGUGAGGAGUUCGGAUUGGCUCUUAGUGGUGGUUCGCCACCACCUAGAGCUGAGAAGUUCUCCAAACCGCCCCACUUAGAGGAAGGAGAANUCGUANCA